AUAUUAAAAAAAAAAAAAAUAAAAAUUACAAGACAUACACAGAUAAUUCAUGAAGGUAAUUUUGAAGUGCCAUUGGCUUCUGCAUUUAUUGCAGACAAUUCCAUAGCUGAUGUUUCAUGAAUUUUUAGUGUUGAUAUAACAGUUUUCAACCUUCAAAGCAACUUCAGGAAUAAAAUAGUAUCUUAAACCACCUCCAGAAUACACAUUCGGUAAUAAAAUAAACAAAAUUUUCACCUAUAGAAGAGGGAAGUACUUUAGGUAUUCCAUACUGGAAGAACACAGUUUGUGGUGGAAGGUGUUUUGCUGCUCCUGUCAUAGGCAGAAACAUAAAAAGGCAGAAAUGAGUAGCUCCCUCAAAAUGAAGGUGGCCUGCACGACACGGGUUCGAUAAACUGCCCAACUGUCCAGUGAUUUGUGAUUCCCCCAAGAAGUGUACAGACCAAAUGGCUCCACGUACAGGAAAAGUCUUGUAAAAAGAAAAACCUGGACCUGAAGCUGCAAGGCUGUAUGGUUUUGGGAGGAAAAGUCCCUGAGGUUUUGGAGAUGCUUCAAGCUUCCAUCUUCAGUGUGGAAACUGGUUGCUUGCCUCUGCAAAGCCCAGGCAGCAGCAGAAUCUUGAUCUAGGACACAACAUAAAUGCUUGAAUGCUAUCCUGUCGUGGAAUGAUGACAAACUUCAUGCAUACACUCCCAUGAACAUGAAGAUACUACAAGCAUGUAAGAGAACACUGGGGCUCUAAGGCCAUAAUCCUGGAAACUCCUACAUAGAGGUCCUGUAUACAGGAUUACUUUGUUUCCCUGUACCCUGUGUAUGUUGUGACACAAAGCUCAGUUGGGUGGUCCUAUGAUGGUGUGUGCUGUGGUAUCUCUGACUUGGGAACCUUGGGGCCUGUAGGAACUCCUGGAGCUGAAUGAGCUCCACUGGCAUGUUCUCUGCUCCUGGGUUGGACAGCAUCUGAUUUGCCUGUCGCAUCACCUGCAAGUCCUUCAUGUCUUAGUCUCCUGUCCAUCUUGGAAGAUGCAAUGAGAACGUGCAGCCUCCAGACACUGAGGAGAACCACACCAGAGCUGGAAAUUAAAAUGUCCACAGUGAAAACCAUCCACCUAUGCAAUUAGCUUUUUUUAAGAAAACUUGACUG
rnacentral:lncRNA from 1 species